GUAUAAAGGCUUGGCCAUUUUGGCCCACCAUGGGACAACUCUGAUGGGUUAUAAAUGUUUCAGAGAUCUCAUGGGUUGGCUGAAGCUUUGUCAGACCUGCAUGGCAUUUGGGCUUUUCCCUCUGCCCAGUUUUGUUUUGUUUUCCUUUCCCUCCUUUGCACAGACAUGGAUCCCUGAUAAAUAUUCUGCAGGCCGAACUCCUACAGUUAUCAGCAUCUGCAUCUGGAGAAUGCAGCCUGUGGAAAUUUGUGCCAGGAGAGGUCCAAAAAAGCAGUUGAGGAAACUGAGGACCCAAAGACAUAAAGUGACCUGCUGGUGAUCUGACCUAGAGUAAGGGGUAGGCAACUGCUCCAGUUUAUAAGACUCCAGUUUAUAAGAGGUGCCCGAACAUCUCUGGGUACCAAAACACUGCAGGAAAUUUAACAAGCUUCCUAAGGAGUCUGGAAUGGACAAACAAAGGGCUUUUGUUUUGUGGAAUGGAGUAAGCAAAUUUGGCUCACAGCUGGAUUGCCCUGGAAAAUAAAGGUCUCCAAUCUUCUCUGUGAAGUCCUCCUUGAACUCAGUUAAAGUGCUCCCACAGCGCCCUCCAUCCAGCAGUCUCCUACCAGCCGUCACACUCUUUAUAACUGUCUGUUUAGAUGCCUGUCUCCUGUCCAGUCAGGGCUCCUCUAAGGUGGGAACAAUUUCUGUAUCCCCAGCACUUAUAAAUGUUGGGGCAGGAGUGAGUGAGUGUAUAGAUGGGACAGAUGGGUGAAUGGGUUGAUACCAUGUCAUCAGGGUCCUGCUCGCCCUUAAACAGUUCUGACAAGAUAAGGUGAACGAAAUGUUUCCUUAUGUAUUAUCGCAUAUCCAUCUCUGUCCCUCUCAUCGCCACUGCUACCACCCUGGUCCAGACCCUCUUCUGCCAUCUAAUGUCUGGACUAUGGCAGCAGCUCGCUACAUGACCUUUUUGCCUGAUCUCUCCUCCAGUUCAUUCUCUACACAACAUCAAAACAAUGUUUUGACAUGGAAGGGAGGGAUAAAUCAGGAGCUUGAGAUGAACAUACACACACUACUAUAUAAAAGGUAGAUAAACAACAAGGACCUACUGUAUAGCACAGGGAACUCUACUCAGUAUUCUGUGAUAACCUAUAUGAGAAAAGAAUCUAAAACAGAAUGACUGUAUGUACAUGUAUAACUGAAUCACUUUGCUGUACACCUGAAACUAACAUAACAUUGUAAAUCAAAUGUACUCCAAUAAAAUUAAAAUAUUUUAAAAAAAUUA